AUUGAACGCUGGCGGCAUGCCUUACACAUGCAAGUCGAACGGCAGCGGACCUUCGGGUGCCGGCGAGUGGCGAACGGGUGAGUAAUAUAUCGGAACGUACCUUUCAGUGGGGGAGUAACGUAGCGAAAGUUACGCUAAUACCGCAUAUUCUGUGAGCAGGAAAGCAGGGGAUCGCAAGACCUUGCGCUGAUUGAGCGGCCGAUAUCAGAUUAGCUAGUUGGUGAGGUAAAGGCUCACCAAGGCGACGAUCUGUAGCGGGUCGUGAGAGGAUGAUCCGCCACACUGGAACUGAGACACGGUCCAGACUCCUACGGGAGGCAGCAGUGGGGAAUUUUGGACAAUGGGCGCAAGCCUGAUCCAGCCAUGCCGCGUGAGUGAAGAAGGCC
rnacentral:rRNA from 1 species